ACAGUCUUUGUGUUUAUUAGUUCUAUAGGUUUCGUUUCUGCCGUACGUUCUUAGUUUCAAAUCAGCGACAUAACAGUAGUUUCAUGAGGUUUGAAUGGUAGCCAAUGGAACGAAGAGGAACACUAUAUUUCUUAACGUUUUUUAAAAAAUUACCAUUCAUCAGAAAUAUUUUUUUCUCUCCAUUCCUUCUCGUUCAUUUUUGUAGAAAAUUAUAAUGUAAAUUUGUUCCUUGUUAAUUUUGAUAAGAAACCAUCAUUCGUCAUCAUUCCCAAAAAUUUAUUCUUAUUCAUUAUUUUCCUAUUC
rnacentral:lncRNA from 1 species